rnacentral:rRNA from 1 species
CCUACGGGCGGCAGCAGUGGGGGAUAUUGCACAAUGGAGGAAACUCUGAUGCAGCGACGCCGCGUGAGGGAAGACGGUCCUCGGAUUUUAAACCUCUGUCUGUGGGGAAGAAAAUGACGGUACCCAAAGAGGAAGCUCCGGCUAACUACGUGCCAGCAGCCGCGGUAAUACGUAGGGAGCCAGCGUUGUCCGGAAUUACUGGGUGUAAAGGGAGCGUAGGCGGGCGAGAAAGUUGGAUGUAAAAUCUACCGGCGUAACUGGGAGCUGCGUUCAAAACUGCUUGUCUUGAGUGAAGUAGAGGCAGGCGGAAUUCGUAGUGUAGCGGUGAAAUGCGUAGAUAUUACGAGGAACACCGGUUGCGAAGGCGGCCUGCUGGGCUUCAACUGACGCUGAGGCUCGAAAGCGUGGGGAUCAAACAGGAUUAGAUACCCGAGUAGUC